rnacentral:lncRNA from 1 species
AGGCAAUUAUGCAUUUUUCUAAAGUUGAGGCGGCAUAAUGAAAGAAAUAUCUGAGAUAUUCUAGUUAAUAUAUAUAUAUAUAUAUGUAAGUAAUGAUUAUUAUUAAUAUUUUAUAUUAUAUUAUAUUAUAUAUAUAUAUGACAAAGAAAGAAAGAAAAGAAACAGAGAGCAAAACAAAACAGAGAAGGGAGAAAGAAAGAAACAGAGAGCAAAACGAAACAGAGAAGGAAGGAAGGAAAGAAAGAAAGAAAAGAAAAGAAAAAGGGAAAUUCGGGGUUUUAAGGUUCAAAGUAAUUUGGUAAGUCAAUUUAAUCCCCUUUUCUCUUAAUUUUGAUAUUUUUUUGAAAUCCUAGAAUAAAAUACUACUUGAUUUAAGUUGAAAUUUUGAAAGUUAGUAGAUUAUUAAGCAUGGUUCAUGUUGAAUAAAUUGUUAAAUUAGGGAUGUAUUUGAUAGAAAUUUUGAUUGGAAUUGAAUAAAGGAUUGAAUUGUAAAUUAAACUAUAAGUUUUGAAUUUUAGGGAUUAAUUUGAAAUAAAUUCGGAAUUAUGAAAACAUGAUAAAAAUUAAAUAGUUAAAUAUGAGUUUAGUAAGAAUUAAGAGAGAAUAUAGAGUUAGAUUGGGAAAAAUAAAAUUAGUAUUGGUAAGGGAUUAAAUUAGAAUUUGGGUAAAGUUUAGGUAUAAAAGGAAAUAUUUUAAUGAAAUUGUGUAUUAAUGAUUUUUAAUUGUUUAAUUACGUAGUUAAUGUCGUGUACGAGUCAUUGUCCGAGAAAGGAAAGGAGAAAGUGGACAAGGAGUGACUCGAGAGAAAUUACGGUUAGUAUUACUAUAAUUCGAAUUUAAUUAUUAAUCGUUGAAAAUUAAAUUAAUAUACACGAUAAGCAAAUUGAGGUGAGUUUCAUAAUUGAAUUGAAUAAUAUAUAUACGUAUUGAUAUUGAAUUUAUUGACAGUAAUUAUUGAAUUUUGAAUAAUAUGUUAGUAAAUAAAAAUAAGGAGAAUAUCAAUAUUUAAUUGAAUGAAUUAAAAUAUGAAUUGAAUAAAUGAGAUAUUAAAUUGAGAUAUGUGAAUAUGUGAAUUGUGUAUUGAUUGAAAAGUGGUUUGAAUUGAAUCGAAGUAUGAUUAUAUGUGAAUAUCUGAAAUAUGUAUUGGUAUUGAAUUGUAUAUUGAUUUGAAAGUGGGAAGUGAAUCUGAGUUGAAUUGCGAUUAAAUCGAAAGUGAAUUUGAAAUAGAAAAAUGUAUUGAAACAAAUGGUGAUUAAAUGGGAAUGAUUUGAAUUGAAAGUAUGAGAAAGUGAUUGAAUUGAAAUGUGAUUCGGAAACCCUAUUAACUAGUCGGGCUGAGUCGGAUAUAGUUGGCAUGCCAUGGGAUUGGAAGAGUUCAGGGAUACUUCGACCUUGAGUCGAUGAGACACUGGGUGUCACUAUAUUUCUUCGGAUAGAUUCGAUGAGGUACUGGGUACCAACUUUACUUCGGCUGGGCCGAUGAGACACUGGGUGUCAACUAUUGCUUCGAACUAUCCGAUGAGGCACUGGGUGCCAUUUUGGUGUGUUUGGUUGGAUCCGUGUAUCCGCCAAGGUCCGAGUCUUGUUAAUAGGGGUAAAUAAUUAAAAUGAGAAAAUUGAAUAAAUGUGAUUGAUUGAGCUAUGGGAAGAAACGAAAAAGUGAAGUUGUGAAUUGAUGUGUGAAUUGGAAAUCGAAAUAAGAGAUUUAAAGAUAUGAGCCCAAAGUUCAUGAUGUGAUAAAGAGUAAAUUUUGUUAUAUGAUAUUAGUGAGUACAAAUUGCAAUAAAAUUUAUAUUGAAUAUAAAUUAAAUGAAAUGAAUUGUAUAUGAAUUGAAAUGAACUAUUGGAAUGAGAUGUAAAGAAAAAUCCAAUGGAAUUGAGAUAGUGAAAUAAGGUAUGAAUACAAUUAAAUACAAGAUUUGAAUUAUAGCUUAUUGUUAUUAAUUAUCAAGUUGAUUUAAUGCAUGAGAUAAUUAAUGAAUAAUUGUAGACAUAAAUAAAAUGUAUAUAAUUUAUCGAUUAAUGUUAUUAAUUCGAAUUAUGGUAAUACCACUGAGUAUUUCCAUACUCAGCGUACGGUUGUUUCCGUGCGCAGGUUAGGUCAAAGUCGGAUUGUUGAAUCAGCAUCCAAAGCCGAUUCUGAGCUAAUUGUGGUGGUGAACAUUUCUUUUAGUUAUGGCAUGUAUAGGAAUUUAGUAAUUUUGUAUAUUUGUAAAUAUGAUUUUACUAUAGAAUGAUGUGUAAGUAUUUGAUGAUGAAUGGUUGUUUAAAUGGUCAAGGAUGAAGUUAAUUAUUGUUAUAAAAGUCUAAGUGAUAAAUUAGGUAUGAAAGUCAUAAAAUGGUAAAAUUUUGCAAAGAAACAGAAUUCAGGCAGCAAUAGUGACUUGAAUUUGAAAAAUCACCCAAGAUAGUAUAAAAUGAAUUAGAGGGUGAAUGAUAUAUGGAAUUAAAGCUUGUUGAGUCUAUUUUCAUGGAAAAAUAACAGUGUAGAGAAAAGAAAUUUAUAUUUUAAGAUAUGUGAAUUUUAGUAAGAUAGGGUCAGAAUUGUUUUUGGAGUCCCCUGUUCUGAGUUUAGAAAAUAAUUAAAAAUUGUACAAAAAUGGUUAUGAGUUGAAAUUUACAUGCUUAGAUUCCUUAAUGAGUCUAUUUUCUAUAGAAACAAGUAAGAACUUCAUAUGAAAAUCCUAUAGUGAGAAAACUUAUUUUUAGUGACUAGAGGUCAGGGCAGUCUGGUGGUGACACAGGGGAGACUUUAACUAAUAAACUGUACUAAUUUGC